GUUUGGCCAGUGUGGUGUUUUCAAAUGCCCCUGCUUCAGUUUUGACACUGACCAGCGAUUUAAUAACAGCCUACAUCUACAAAACCAUAUCAAACAAGCAGUCGAGAAUAACGGAAAGUUCAGCGUGUUGAACGUGUGACUGAUGAAGGAGAUAGAAUGGGCAACGUCUCCUUUGAACAGAUACAGUUCUGGAUGAGGGUGACAAAGCUUUUUUAAAGCUGUCACUGGUUUGUCGUCUCUUCCGGGACAUUGUUUGGACAACAAUCAUUCCGGGCCCGGGCACAUUUCGAGUGGCUUGACAGUGUAGUGCCAUGAAAACAUCACAGUGCUGCAUGUAAAGACAAGUUUCGCAGGAUGUACGAACUGCAGUGCUGCCAGAACUGUCAAGAAACUUAUAAAGACUACAUACUGGGCUACGUUGGGCAUGGGAGACGAGGGGAGCUUGUGGCAUUUUACAGCGAAAACGAGCACCCUGGAUUCUGCAGCCAGCUUCAUGAAUGGCUGGGUGUGUGAGUGGCUGGGUGUGUGAGUGGCUGGGUGUGUGAGUGGCUGGGUGUGUGAGUGGCUGGGUGUGUGAGUGGCUGGGUGUGUGAGUGGCUGGGUGUGUGAGUGGCUGGGUGUGUGAGUGGCUGGGUGUGUGAGUGGCUGGGUGUGUGAGUGGCUGGGUGUGUGAGUGGCUGGGUGUUGCAUUUUUAAAUAAAGACUUCUGUAUUUGUUUGACCAAAGCAUGUAACCAAACAUUUUAAAGGCUAGUGUGCCAAUAAAUGCCAAUAAAGAUAUUGUAUUAGCUUGGACAAA